rnacentral:lncRNA from 1 species
AAAACCACCCCGUUUCAGCCCUCAGCCUCAGGGCUGAGAUUCAGGCUCAGGUCUAGGGGUUGGGGAAUAUUAAAGUUUACAAGUACAAUCUUACUCCAUCCAUACACACACAUGGAGAAGCCAGGAGAGGACGCGGCCAGAGAUGGGCUCCUGCCCUUGAACCCCUGCUGGGGUGGAAGCAGGUGCACAAUGCUUCUUUGAGUAUCUCCGUGUCUGUGGCUGAUAUCCAGAUGCAAGGCUUCUUCCGGGCAUCCCUGGGAAUGGGAGUGCAUAGACAUACUGGUCAAAUUACAGCACAGCCUCUACACCUUUACUGAAGAUGGAAAACUGUUUUCCAAAGUUGACUUGCCUAACAUGAUGUAACUAUCAUGCAAAAAUAAAAAUAAAAUUAAGAAUAAAAAUUUAAAAAUGAAAAAAAAAAAAAAAA